rnacentral:rRNA from 1 species
CCUACGGGAGGCAGCAGUGAGGAAUAUUGGACAAUGGACGAGAGCCUGAAGCAGCGAAGCAGCGUGAAGGAUGACGGCCCUAGGGAUUGUAAACUUCUUUUAUAUGGGAAUAAAACAGGGUAUGCAUACCCUCAUGUAUGUACAAUAUGAAUAAGGAUCGGCGAACUACGUGCCAGCAGCCGCGGUAAUACGGAGGAGUCGAGCGUUAUCCGGAUGUAGUGGGUUUAAAGGGAGCGUAGGUGGAUUUUCAAGUCAGUUGUGAAAGUUGGCGGCUCAACCGUGAAAUUGCAUUUGAAACUGGCAGUCUUGAGUGCAGUAGAGGUGAGCGGAAUUCGUGGUGUAGCGGUGAAAUGCUUAGAUAUCACGAAGAACUCCGGUUGCGAAGGCAGCUUACUGGACUGUAACUGACGCUGAGGCUCGAAAGUGUGGGUAGCAAACAGGAUUAGAUACCCGAGUAGUC